CGUCCAUUUACAAAAAAGGCAAUUAUGUUUAAGGAAGCGAUGAGAGAUGUGGCCAACCGAUCACUUGUCAGUGAGAACCCCAUUCAUCCUUUUGAAAGAAAAAUGCUGAAAAAUGAAACAAUUAAUUCAUCUGUUUCGUUACCUUUUCUAAAUAAAUAAAUAUGGAUUUUAAUUAGUAUUUUUGUACAUUAAAAUUAUAAUUAUAUAUUAAAGUACAAUUGAAAUAAACAACUUC
rnacentral:misc_RNA from 1 species